UCGAACGCCGUAGCAAUACGGAGUGGCAGACGGGUGAGUAACACGUGGGAACGUACCCUUUGGUUCGGAACAACACAGGGAAACUUGUGCUAAUACCGGAUAAGCCCUUACGGGGAAAGAUUUAUCGCCAAAGGAUCGGCCCGCGUCUGAUUAGCUUGUUGGUGAGGUAACGGCUCACCAAGGCUACGAUCAGUAGCUGGUCUGAGAGGAUGAUCAGCCACACUGGGACUGAGACACGGCCCAGACUCCUACGGGAGGCAGCAGUUAGGAAUCUUGGACAAUGGGCGCAAGCCUGAUCCAGCCAUGCCGCGUGAGUGAUGAAGGCCUUAGGGUUGUAAAGCUCUUUCAGCGGGGAAGAUAAUGACGGUACCCGCAGAAGAAGCCCCGGCUAACUUCGUGCCAGCAGCCGCGGUAAUACGAAGGGGGCUAGCGUUGCUCGGAAUCACUGGGCGUAAAGCGCACGUAGGCGGAUCUUUAAGUCAGGGGUGAAAUCCUGGAGCUCAACUCCAGAACUGCCUUUGAUACUGGGGAUCUCGAGUCCGGAAGAGGUGAGUGGAACUCCNAGUGUAGAGGUGAAAUUCGUAGAUAUUCGGAAGAACACCAGUGGCGAANGNGGCUCACUGGUCCNGUACUGACGCUGAUGUGCGAAAGCGUGGGGAGCAAACAGGAUUANAUACCCUGGNAGUCCACGCCGUAAACGAUGGAUGCUAGCCGUUGGCGGGUUUACCCNUCAGUGGCGCANCUNACGCAUUAAGCAUCCCNCCUGGGGAGUAC
rnacentral:rRNA from 1 species